UCGAUUACGUCCCUGCCCUUUGUACACACCGCCCGUCGCUGCCCGGGACUGAGCCAUUUCGAGAAACUUGGGGACUGCUGAUCCGGUGGCUUCGGCCUCCGCUUCGGUGGAAACCAAUUUAAUCGCAGUGGCUUGAACCGGGCAAAAGUCGUAACAAGGUAGCUGUAGGUGAACCUGCUGCUGGAUCAUUACACGUACCGUGAUGGU
rnacentral:rRNA from 1 species